rnacentral:lncRNA from 1 species
CGCGGAGGGGAGCGGUGUAACUGCCCGCCCCAGCCGUGCGGCGUGACUGAGGUGUCGGCAGCCCUCGUGGAAGCGUUGUGUCUCCCACGAUGAUGAAGAAAAUGGGCACAGAAAUAACGAUGCGUUGGCUGAUCCUUCAUUUUUCCCCCAGCCUGUCAUCCCCGAGUGCCAGGAUUUCAGAUGUCUUCAGUCUAAAGUCUUGUACACUACUUGUCUUGUAAAUCGGGUCUUCAGUUUUGAGUAAUUCAUUUGGCAGAACUUAGAUCAGGUGGCUGAAUUAGUAGGAUUGCAACGUUAUUAGUUUAAAACGCACACUAGAAUUUGUGAAGCUUCUAAAUCAGAGCCUGCUGAAAACACUGUUUUGGUUUAAGCUUAGGAAGUGUGAGAUAGAGGAGCGGAUGGUGAGGUGUGUUGAGGUCUGGCUGACUGGCAGAGCUCAGAGUUGGCAUCGGUGGUGCAGUCUGGUUGGAAGCCUGUAACUAGCUGUGUUCCUCAGGCAUCGGUGCUGGGUCCAGUCUUGUUCAGUAUCCCUUCAUCAAUGACCUCAAUGAAGGGAUGGAGUCCACCCUCAGCAAGUUUGCUAAUGAUACAAACCUGGGAGGAGUGGCUGACAUACCAGAAUGCUGUGCUGUUGUUCAGGAAGCCCCAGACAGAAUGGAGACUUGAGAAGAAAGGAACCUUAUGAGGUUCAACAAGAGCAGCCGUAGAGUCCUAUGCCUGAGGAGCAAUAACUGCAUGCAUAAAUGCUGAUUAGGGGCUGGCCUGCUGGAAAAAGCUCUGCAGAGAAGGACCUGGGUGUCCUGGUCGACAACAGGUUAGCCAUGAGUCCGCAAUGUGGCCUUGUGGCCCAGAAGGCCAAUGGUAUCCUGGGGUGCAUUAAAAAGAGCAUGGCCAGCAGGUCAAGGGAGGUAAUCCCUCUACUCUGCCCUGGUGAGGUCACAUCUGGUGUACUGUGUCCAGUUCUGGACUCCUCCAUUAAAAAAAGAUAGUGAUAAUCUAGAGAGAGCCCAGUGGAAGGCCACAAAGAUGAUUCAGGGCCUGGAGCAUCUCCCUUAUGAAGAUAGGCUGAGAGCCGUGGGACUGUUCAUCCUGGAGAAGAGAUGGCUGAGGGGGGAUCUUAUCAAUGUUUAUAAAUAUCCAGUGGGUGGGGGUCAAGUGGAUGGGGCCAGGCUCUUUUCAGUGGUGUGUGGUGACAAGAACAAGAGGCAAUGGGCAAAAACAGAAACACGGGAAGUUCCAUGUGAACAGGAGGAAAUACUUCUUUACUUUGAGGGUGACAGCACUGGAAUUGCCCAGAGAGACUGUGGAGUCUCCUUCUCUGGAGAUAUUCAAGAUCCACCUGGACACUUUGCUGCAUAACCUACUGUAGGGAACCUGCUUUAUGUAGGACUUGAUGAUCUCCAGAGGUUUCUUCCAACCACAACAGUUCAGCAUCCUUGAAUGUAUUCUACUUGCCUGUUAACUUCCUUGUUCUUUCCCAUUGCAUUCUUGAAAUAAAUCAGUGCUGUUGGUAGCACAAAGAGAGCAGCUUGCACAAGCCACAUGGCACUUAAAGGAACUUUGACACCAAUAAAAACAACGUGCUUGUUUUUUCUAGCACUUUCCAGAACUGUUCACUCCUCCUUUUACUUCAUGCUUCAUUUUAGGAAAGUAAUGUGGAUGACACUGAAGAAACAUUGCGAAUCCUGGUUAAUAUGGCUCGAUGUUUUAAAAGUGUGCUGUUGUAGUAGGAAGUCGGUAGUAGUUAAAUGGUGUGAACAGCAAGACUGGGUAUAAACAAUUAUAUUCACCCUUUUGAUUAUUUCGUCCAUUGUGGUCCUUUUCAACCCAGACCAUUCUAUGAUAUUACACAGCUUUUACAACAAGCCCUUCCAGUUUGGACAAUCCUGCUAUGUAUAUUGACCACAUAGAUAAGCAGUGUCAGACUGUGUAUUUCAGAAGUGAACUAACAUCCUAAAAUAGGAGAUAUUUAGAUUGUCCAAUCCCCUCUGAGUUAACACAGCCCGGAAAAGACGUUUAUUGAAGGCUUGAACAGUUCAAUAUAACAAUUCAGAUAAAAAUCUAUCAUCUUUUUAAUGCAAUAUUUUAAGUCAGGAGGGGAGCAUUCUUGUGUGUAGCAGCUCUGAUCACCUCCGAAUUACUAAACUGAUCUCCGCAUGGCACACACAUAUUGACAGUGGUUCCAGGGUGGUUCUAAGGGGGAAACAAAGAGUUUAUAGAACUCUGAAGCAUGGGAGAGAAGGAAGAUGUUUUUAAGCAUUCAUUUUUCUGUUCAAAAGUCACUGCCUUGAAGAUUUCUUGCUAACAGAACUGCGGGUUCUUUCGUUCCUCUCCUGAAGAAAGAAGAGAUGUGCAUCUUAGCUCUACAAAUGGAAAAUUCACUAAGUGAAUCACAAAAAGUUAAUAAGCUGAACACUUGUCCUCCCACCCUCUGAGCCUCUGUUUCCCUUCUAUUCACCAAAGAUUGUGUUUUGUUGAUCCCAGCUCCUUCAAGGAGGUGACAGGUGGUGCAGGAGGUUGCCCUGGGCUACAGUGGAUAUCGAAAAGGGGAAGCAAAUAGUUUGUUUUCCAAGAAGGCAGAGGUUGAUUUAGACCAGCGUGCAGUUGUGUGUGCAGAAGCUAAUGCAAUUAUUGUGAGACAAAUGAAAGAGGACCACCCUGUCUUCCUGCCUCCCGGAUCAGGCUCUGCUCUCUUGUCCACUACCACAGGCUCAGUGUUACCCACAGCAGUUCUUCCCUCUUUGUGAAGAUGUGCUCUGCUAAAGGUGUUCAGUAGACAUUUACAUCAAGAACAGGAAUCUGGUGACCACAUAAGCAAGUGAUGAGAUAGAAUGUUCAAUGGACAACUGUGCCAGCUUUCAUGAGAGAUCGGCAGCAGUACUUCAUCCCCGAAAGCAGUUGAUCAAAAAUGAAUGUACUGUCAAAAAAAGCUGACAAGAAUAAGGCAUGAUUGUGAAGUGAAGGAUAUUCUUCUCUGCAAGGAUGGGAAGGUGAUGCGUGAACUCAAUGCCGUGUGAGGACACCUCAGUAGUCACUGCUGCUACAGGUCGUCAACAAAGAACAGCCCCUUUUCAAAGUGAUAGAUCUACUGAAAUCAGAUUAUGCCGGAGCAGCCUGGUUGCUUUGAAUGGGUUCAUAAAGGUUUUACUGAUGCCAAGAGCCUUUCAUUGAUCUGACAG